GAUCGCGUAGCUCAGUUGGCAGAGCAUUGAGCUGGUGUUCCAAAGGUCCGUAGGUUUGAUUCCCACCGUGGUCA